UACGGAGGAUCCGAGCGUUAUCCGGAUUUAUUGGGUUUAAAGGGAGCGUAGGUGGAUUGUUAAGUCAGUUGUGAAAGUUUGCGGCUCAACCGUAAAAUUGCAGUUGAAACUGUAGUUCUUGAGUACUGGAGAGGCAGACGGAAUUCCUAGUGUAGCGGUGAAAUGCGUAGAUAUUAGGAGGAACACCAGUGGCGGAGGCGGCUUACUGGACGGUAACUGACGCUGAGGCUCGAAAGCGUGGGGAGCAAACAGG
rnacentral:rRNA from 1 species